UACGGAGGGGGCAAGCGUUGUUCGGAAUUACUGGGCGUAAAGGGCGCGCAGGCGGCUGCUCAAGUCAGGCGUGAAAGGCCUGGGCUCAACCCGGGAAUUGCGCUUGAGACUGGGCUGGCUUGAGUGCGGGAGAGGAUGGUGGAAUUCCCAGUGUAGAGGUGAAAUUCGUAGAUAUUGGGGAGAACACCGGUGGCGAAGGCGGCCAUCUGGACCGCAACUGACGCUGAGGCGCGAAAGCGUAGGGAGCAAACAGG
rnacentral:rRNA from 1 species